rnacentral:rRNA from 1 species
CAGCCGCCGCGGUAAAACGGAGGGUGCAAGCGUUAUCCGGAUUUAUUGGGUUUAAAGGGUCCGUAGGCGGAUCUGUAAGUCAGUGGUGAAAUCUCACAGCUUAACUGUGAAACUGCCAUUGAUACUGCAGGUCUUGAGUAAAUUUGAAGUGGCUGGAAUAAGUAGUGUAGCGGUGAAAUGCAUAGAUAUUACUUAGAACACCAAUUGCGAAGGCAGGUCACUAAGAUUUAACUGACGCUGAUGGACGAAAGCGUGGGGAGCGAACAGGAUUAGAUACCCCGGUAGUCCCUGUCUCUUAUAC